rnacentral:rRNA from 1 species
UUCCAGACUCCUACGGGAGGCAGCAGUGAGGAAUAUUGGUCAAUGGGCGCGAGCCUGAACCAGCCAAGUCGCGUGAGGGAUGACGGCCCUACGGGUUGUAAACCUCUUUUGUCGGGGAGCAAAUUCCGCCACGUGUGGCGGAGUCGAGAGUACCCGAAGAAAAAGCAUCGGCUAACUCCGUGCCAGCAGCCGCGGUAAUACGGAGGAUGCGAGCGUUAUCCGGAUUUAUUGGGUUUAAAGGGUGCGUAGGCGGAAGGCCAAGUCGGCGGUAAAAUCGCGGGGCUCAACCUCGCUCCGCCGUUGAAACUGGCGUUCUUGAGUGGGCGAGAAGUAUGCGGAAUGCGCGGUGUAGCGGUGAAAUGCAUAGAUAUCGCGCAGAACUCCGAUUGCGAAGGCAGCAUGCCGGCGCCACACUGACGCUGAGGCACGAAAGCGUGGGUAUCGAACAGGAUUAGAUACCCGAGUAUC